rfam:Jatropha curcas cultivar GZQX0401 scaffold42_11, whole genome shotgun sequence.
AAGCCAUGCGGUAAGCACAGAGCGAACUAUUCUUUCGCCUUUUACUAAAGAAUACCGUGUACUUGCGGCUUUUUGGUGGCAUACGUCUAUUUUUGGAGGAGGGGCUGGCUCAUUU